CAAGUCAGUGACACCAGCGGGCUUGUCUGCUGGGAAGUUCCUCUCUCCUGGGACUGGAACCAUCUGUCCACUUGUCUGUGUCUCUCGUGAGGACAGACCCUUCUGUAUCACGUAGCGCCACACUGAGCCAGGAGCCAGCGGCCUCCCUAGAUCUGACGUGAAUUGAAAGGGCCUGACCGGGCAGGGGCCCAGGGAGGGGAUCAAAAACAGCGAUGGGAACAAACCCAUCAUAAACCUGGCAUUCCUGCAGGGAGAAACCGCAAGGUGCAGACUUGAAAGGGCCUUGCUGGGGUUCCCACUACGGCAAACGAAAGCGGGAGGGAGGCGUGAGUGUGGCCUUCCAGGCAGCUGCAUUUCUGCGUCUGGACAGCCAGCCUCGCUCGGGUGACUGCAUGCCUCAAAGCCAACUAUCCCAGCCCCGGGCCACCAGAGGAAACCAGAAAAACCCAUGCCACCGCAGCGAAAGAUUGCAGGUGAAACCGGCAAACACCACUACGUAGGGCAGUCCCGUUCCUGAGUUCUUUCUCCCUGCUAUUCAGCUGUGGCGGCACAGGCACAGAGAGGGCUCCCAACGCUGUGCUCGAGUGCACGCAGUUGGGAAGAGAGAAGCUUUUCCCCAAACCCCACUUGCCUCCAAACCCAACCUGACGUGGGCCGGAGCCUCCAUGGGGGUUAGAAAGAGCAUCAUUUAAAUUAGGUGCGCUCGUCAUUUUCACCUGUAAUGCACCAAAAAAGGGAAGGAGGGGGAGAGGAAAGGGGAAGCCCUUGCCGAGAACCAGACAGGAGAGGAUGCACACCCGUCACACUGAAACAAGGUGGUUUCUUUAGCAAGUGGGAGAGAGUUGAGGCACUGAGAAGAAGAACUAAAAUGACUGAGUUUCAUAGAGAUGCAGAGGACAGAGCGCUGACAGGCACAGUUUCUCUCUUCUUGGCCGCUGCAUGAAAUUGCCUCAAAGUCAAGACAGAGAGUGCUGUGAUGCACCAGCACGGGCCCAACGCCAGCCUCCGUGACUGUCAACUCAUGGCCAAACUUUUUUCAUUUACAUCCAACCCUCCCUUCAGAUCAUUUGGAAGCAAAUCCCAGACAUCAUGUUCUCUCAUCCGUGCAGAUAGGUUCCAUCCAUUCCUGGCUGUUGGUUGAUAUGUCUCUUAAGCCUCCUUAAUUCUGUAAGUUCUCCUCUUUUCUUUCCCUUGCAAUUUGUUUCGUGAAGACACCAAGUCAUUUGUCCCAGAGAGUUUCGUGCAAUUAAGAGUUUGUGGAUUGCAUCCCUGUGGUGUCAUUUAUCGUGUUUUUCUGUCCCUGGUAUUUCCUGUAAAUUGGUGGUUAGAUUUACGGGCUUGACUGUUGAUGGUUUGAUGGGAUUUUUAGAAAAAACAUUCCGUAGGUGGUUUGUAAUAUCUAGGACCUCCAGUGUG
rnacentral:lncRNA from 1 species